rnacentral:lncRNA from 1 species
GGGCCAACAAGCCACUUCCAGCAGGGAGAGACAAAGACAGAGACAGAGAAACAGAGAGACAGACAGACCGAGACAGAGAGAGAGCAGAGAGACAAAGACACGCAGCCACAAAGAGACAUACAGAGAGAGAACAGAGACAGAGAUACAGAGAGACAUGGAGACAGAGACGCAGAGAGAGAAAGAGACAGAGGCAGAGAGAGACAGACAGAGACGGAGAGAGAACAGAGAGACAAAGGCACGCACCCACAAAGAGACAUACAGAGAGAGAGAAGAGAGACAGAGAUACAGAGAGACACGGAGACAGAGACGCAGAGAGAGACAGAGACAGAGGCAGAGAGAGACAGACAGAGACGGAGAGAGAACAGAGAGACAAAGACACGCACCCACAAAGAGACAUACAGAGAGAGAGAAGAGAGACAGAGAUACAGAGAGACACGGAGACAGAGACGCAGAGAGAGACAGAGACAGAGACAGAGAAACAGAGAGACAGACAGACCGAGACAGAGAGAGAGCAGAGAGACAAAGACACACGCACCCACAAAGAGACAUACAGAGAGAGAACAGAGACAGAGAUACAGAGAGACAUGGAGACAGAGACGCAGAGAGAGAAAGAGACAGAGGCAGAGAGAGACAGACAGAGACGGAGAGAGAACAGAGAGACAAAGACACGCACCCACAAAGAGACAUACAGAGAGAGAGAACAGAGACAGAGAUACAGAGAGACAUGGAGACAGAGACGCAGAGAGAGAAAGAGACAGAGGCAGAGAGAGACAGACCGAGACGGAGGAACAGAGAGACAAAGACACGCGCACCCACAAAGAGACAUACAGAGAGAGAGAACAGAGACAGAGAUACAGAGAGACACGGAGACAGAGAGACGCAGAGAGAGAAAGAGACAGAGUCAGAGAGAGACAGAGACGGAGGAACAGAGAGACAGAGAGUGACAGAGACAGACAGAGGCAGAGACAGAGACCGACGUAGAGACAGACACAAACAGAGAGACAGGGAG